ACUACAAUUUGACAAAAUUAUCGUUCUUUGUUAACAUAAUAUCCCUUACAUUUAUGUAUUGUUUUAAAAGUAGUAUAUUUUAGGAAUAAACCACUUCAAUAAUUAAUUUCAUUUAUUUUAUUGUUUUCUUUCAGGUGACAAAAAAUAGAAGUAAUACCAAAACCUAGCAAGACACAAAAUAUGGUGAAAUAAAAAGUUUCAUAAGCUUUUCUAGUUGUUUAUAUUAUUAUUUAUACAUGUCAGAUGGACAGACAGACUACGCAAAACUAAUAGCAGUUCGUCCGUUUACUCGGGCCGCUAAAAAUAGAAAAAUUGUUUCUAUAUUGUACAUGUACGCAAGUCGCAAUUAAUUGUUGAUUUCUUAAUUAGUUAGAUCUUAUCAUUAAACACAUGGACGGCCUCGACCUCUUUUUGCUUAUCUUUUUGGUCGACAUAUUGUGAGUUUUUUUUUAGUGUGGAUGGUCUGACUGUCUAGUAGCUGGAGUCUUCAAAAUGAGUUUCUUAACUUUUGCAUUGAUUUUAUUACUGUUGUGUUCUAUAAAGGGAGGUUGGUGUUUCAUGCCAUGCAGUAUGUGUCCUAAAGAUGACGAUUUUUGCCCAACUUAUUGUGUGGAUGACUUUGAAUGGCAGUCCAUUAUUGGUCGAGCAGUUUGAUGUCAGACUAUGUAGACUGAACAGACAAUAUAGACAUCCAUAAAUGUACAUAGUCUUUCGUUUUUUUCAAUGUCAACAAAUGAAAUAAAAAAAAUUUUUAAAU